AACUGAUCGGGAACUAUUGCCAUUUCUCUAAUGAGCCCAUGGCAGGGCGAAACCAGUU
rnacentral:hammerhead_ribozyme from 10 species